GAUAAAUAUUCAUAAAAACAUUUUAUCUCACAUCGACAGAAAGUUUUGGCACCUUGAUGUCGGCUUUUCGCCACCUGAGGUUGUAGUAUGUUUCAAGGGUUGGGUUGUUCACCAUUAAAGCAGUACAUGAGCUAGGUUCAAAACGUCGUGAGAUAGUUU
rnacentral:ncRNA from 1 species